ensembl:lncRNA
GAGAAGAAGAGGAGGAGAGGUGGGACGCUGAGACAGAGAGGAAGAGGAGGAGAGGUGGGACACUGAGACAGAGAGGAAGAGGAGGAGAGGUGGGACGCUGAGACAGAGAGGAAGAGGAGGAGAGGUGGGACACUGAGACAGAGAGGAAGAGGAGGAGAGGUGGGACACUGAGACAGAGAGGAAGAGGAGGAGAGGUGAGACACUGAGACAGAGAAGAAGAGGAGGAGAGGUGGGACACUGAGACAGAGAGGAAGAGGAGGAGAGGUGGGACACUGAGACAGAGAGGAAGAGGAGGAGAGGUGAGACACUGAGACAGAGAGGAAGAGGAGGAGAGGUGGGACACUGAGACAGAGAGGAAGAGGAGGAGAGGUGGGACACUGAGACAGAGAGUGGUGGAGGGUGACACUGAGACAGAGAGUGGUGGAGGGUGAGAGGGAACGGUUACAAGAAAUUCGACAAAGGGCAAGAAAUUAACAGAAAAGAACGGAGAGUAGAAAAUAAAGCCAAAUGCCAACAUCAACAGUUAAUUUAAAGACAGGUUUGCUCCCGAGUGGCGCAACGGUCUAUGGCACGAGAUCUCAGUGCAAGUGGCGACACUACAGACCCUGGUUCGAUCCCGGGAGUCCCAUGGAGUGGCACACAACGUUGUCCGGUUUAGGGGAGGGUUUGGCAGGGGUAAGCCGUCCUUGUAAAAACGGAAUUUGUUCUUAACUGACUUGCCUAGUUAAAUGAAGGUUAAAAUAAACAAAAUCAUAAAGAGUAAGAAAGGUGGAAUGGAGAGGAAAGAGCAAAUGGGAGGAUAACGGAAAUAGCAGGGAAUCAUUUUUGGAUGUUUUUGCACCUGAACUCACUGUAUUCACCCCUGACCCCAUUAACCCUGAAAGGUCAUGGCCUUUGAUCCCCCUCUACCAAUUAGUCUGGGUGGAAGUUGAGUCUUCACGGCGACCAAGAACAGAUCAAAUCCACAUGUGGGAAUCCCCGAGAACCAUUUCAGUGACACUUCCUCUCAGAGAUAGAGAAUGGAGGGGGGGGGGGUUCCUGUGUCAUGCUAUGCCUUAUCCAAUGGAGAAGAGGGGGACCCUUAAUGCCUAAGAAUUGGGAAAGUGACACACUUCAUGGUAACAUCAUGCUCGACAUCUGAGACCCCAAGAAUCCAGAAUCAUUUCAGUAAAUAUGACUUCAUAGAUAUCCUACAUACAUGAAGCAUGUAGAUACAGUUCAUAGUAGCUGGAAGAUUACAUGUGCAUAAGCAUGAAGAGACAGCGUGUGUGUGUGUGUGUGUGUGUGUGUGUGUGUGUGUGUGUGUGUGUAGACGCUAAAGUUGAAAGGGAAUACUGUACCUCUCAGGAAAUCUAUGUGCUCCCUGCACAGCGUUAUGGCAUGAAACAGUACCUUUCACUACACUCUCCUCCUUUCUAUCCCCUUCUCCUCCUUUCUAUCCCCUUCUCCUCUCUCCC